rnacentral:lncRNA from 1 species
GUAGAGAUGGGGUUUCUCCAUGUUGGUCAGGCUGGUCUCGAACUCCUAACCUCAGGUGAUCCACCCGACUCAGCCUCCCAAAGUGCUAGGAUUACAGGUAUGAGCCACCAUGCCCAGUGAUAGUUUUACCUUAAAAAUUAUUCUGUGUUCCCUCACACAAUAAGGACCUCAUUGAUUAUUUCACUUGACAAAGUCACUUUCCAUGUGGAAAACACUUCUUGAAGCCCUUGGGAUCUCAGCUGGGGACGCGGAGACUUUGCCCUCCAGGAGGGCAUCUAAUGUUUGUGAUGAUUGCCUCAUCUCUCGUUUGCACUGAGCUUGUGUUGCUAAUUAUUAGCUAUGGUGGAUGCAGAGAGAAAGACGGAAUUGGAUAUGGAAUGGCAGAAGCUAUGACAAACUGCAAGAGUGCCUGGCUGUCACUGUUUAAAAAAUUAUAAUGUUUCUCAAAGAAAUUCCAAAGAACAUAGAAAGGAGACCACAGGAAGAAUCCAGAACUGCUGCCCAUCAUAAAAUUUUUCCAUCUGCAAUUUGUGUCUACAGUGUGCCAGUUAUUGAUGAGGGCUGAAUCCUAUUCCACCGUGUGGAUGGGCCCCAGCUUCUUACCCACCACCCAUCAGCGGACACUCAGGUUGCUCCCACCGUUGGGCCAUCGUGAACAGCACUGCAAUGAACGCGGUGGCCAGAUUCCUCUUCAAGUUCCCAGUUUCAUUUCUUUGAUACCCAGAAAUGAGAUUGAUGCAUCA